rnacentral:rRNA from 1 species
GGGGAAUAUUGGGCAAUGGACGCAAGUCUGACCCAGCAACGCCGCGUGAAGGAAGAAGGCUUUCGGGUUGUAAACUUCUUUUAAGGGGGAAGAGUAGAAGACGGUACCCCUUGAAUAAGCCACGGCUAACUACGUGCCAGCAGCCGCGGUAAUACGUAGGUGGCAAGCGUUGUCCGGAUUUACUGGGUGUAAAGGGCGUGUAGCCGGGAAGGCAAGUCAGAUGUGAAAUCUGGAGGCUCAACCUCCAAACUGCAUUUGAAACUGCUUUUCUUGAGUGUCGGAGAGGUAAUCGGAAUUCCUUGUGUAGCGGUGAAAUGCGUAGAUAUUAGGAGGAACACCAGUGGCGAAGGCGGCCAACUGGGCUUUUACUGACGCUGAGGCUCGAAAGCGCGGGGAGCAAACA